CCAAAUCGUACGAUCACCAACGUACUAUCUCUUUACUGCUAUUCUUUUCGGAAAAAUCCCCUUUUUUUCUCCGCAAUUGAAUUAGAUUUCCGCAAAACCCUAAAGAAUCACCACCAUAUAAUCUAUCUCCCCUGUCUCGAUUUCUCUAAAACCCUAACUCAACAUGAACUAUAAUCACUAUGACAACCGCUACAACGAUCCAUCUUCUUAUCGUGAACGCCGCAGUGAUUUAAUGGGCCCUCCACCUAAUAUGGGUGGUCCGGUAAGGGCCGCCGUACCUCCUUAUAGCGGGCCCCCUGUGGGUGGGGCUCCAUUUCCGAGUUACCCACCUUUUGAACCUCCGGCUAACCGUAGAUUUGAAAUGGGUCAUGAUGAUAGAGGUUCAGGUGGUAGUGGUAGAGGUAGAGGUAGAGAUAAUUUUAGAAGUAGUGAUAUAGGCGGUAGGCAAAGCGGGUUUGAUCAUUCGAGUGGAAGCGUUGGUGGUAGAGGUUUUGAUGCAAGAAGAGGAGUUAUUAGAGGGAGAGGAGGAGGGAGAGGGUUUGAUGGAAAUCGAAGCGGUGGGAGAGGUUUUAGUGGUGGUGCAUUUGGUAGAGGAGGAAGUGGUGGUUUUGGAGGAGGUGGUGGCGGAGGGAGAGGAGGACGAGGAGGUGAUAAUUUGGAUUCUAUUGCACUUCCUAAACAAGAAUUUAGGAACUUGGUUCCGUUUAGGAAGGAUUUUUAUUCGGAGAGUGCAUCAGUACGAGCCAUGACGGAUCAUGAGGUGACAAUGUAUCGAGCUAGGCGUGAUAUUACGGUUGAAGGACAUGAUGUUCCUAGGCCUAUCAGGAUGUUUCAUGAAGCCGGCUUUCCAGCUUAUUGUCUUGAUAUCAUCGCUAAGUUGGGUUUUGCUGAGCCGACGCCAAUUCAGUCUCAAGGAUGGCCUAUGGCUCUAAAAGGUAGAGACUUGAUUGGCAUUGCUGAGACUGGCUCUGGGAAGACUUUGGCUUAUUUGUUACCUGCUCUUGUGCAUGUUAGUGCUCAGCCGAAACUAGAAUAUGGUGAUGGACCAAUUGUACUAGUAUUAGCCCCCACUCGAGAAUUGGCUGUGCAAAUACAAGAGGAAGCACUGAAAUUUGGAUCUCGGGCUAAUGUUCGGAGUACCUGCAUUUAUGGAGGAGCUCCCAAAGGACCACAAAUUCGUGAUCUUAAAAGGGGUGUGGAGAUUGUGAUUGCUACUCCUGGUCGAUUGAUAGAUAUGUUGGAAGCCCAACACACCAACUUGAAAAGAGUUACAUAUUUGGUACUAGACGAGGCUGACCGGAUGUUAGAUAUGGGUUUCGAACCUCAAAUUAGGAAUAUAGUCUCCCAGAUCCGACCAGAUAGACAGACUUUAUACUGGAGUGCUACGUGGCCACGAGAGGUAGAAUCCCUGGCAAGGCAGUUCUUACGUAAUGCUUACAAGGUGGUUAUUGGAUCAGCAGAUCUGAAGGCUAAUCAUUCUAUUUGCCAAGUAAUUGAAGUCAUGAACGACUUAGAGAAAUACAACCGGUUAGUUAAACUGCUGAAAGACAAAAUGGAUGGGAGCAAAAUUCUAAUAUUUGUGGAAACAAAAAAGGGAUGCGAUCAAGUCACAAGACAGUUGAGAAUGGAUGGCUGGCCAGCUCUGGCUAUCCAUGGUGAUAAAGACCAAUCUGAAAGGGAUUGGGUUCUGGCUGAGUUUAAAAGUGGCAGAAGCCCUAUAAUGACUGCCACUGAUGUUGCUGCUCGUGGUCUUGGUAGGAUGAUUGUGUGUUAGGAGUCUUGAUUGUUGCGUUGUUGGUCUCGAUUAGUGUCUUAGUAAAAUUAGGCUUGCUAGCCGGCUGCUGUCCAGUUCCUGUCAAAUAUUUGUGGUUUGGCCGUUUGGGUGAGAGGCAGGAUUGCAACGCUGUGACUUGCAAGGUUUUCUAGUUGGCUUCUGCUUUGUCUUACCAGUUACCACUUACGAGCGCAGAUUUUUUUCUUCCACACACUUCUAGUCUUCAAUAUGGAUGAUAGGAUGGAUGCCUGUGGUCUCUCUGGUCACCAUAUUGCCUUUGAUGGUAACGUAUAGUCUUUGGGCAAUUAUUAGAUGCUUCUGGGACAGUGUAGCAUGAUUUGUCCGCUAAUUCGAGGUUUGAAUUCGUGAUUCGCCCAAAAUUAGCCUAAAACUGUUCAUAAUUUGCUUUCUUCGAUUCACGAUACGCAAGAAGAUUAGUGAAUCAUGUGACACUUGUUUGGGAUUCUUCCAUUUUGUUAUUUUUGACAUCGUAUUCUGUGGGUCAUGUUCUAGGGUAGGCCUUUUACGUAUUUCAGACUUGCGAGUUGUGUAGGAAGCUGUUUUCUUCAGUGUAGUCAUUAUUAUAAGUCAAAUUUGACUUUGCUCCUCCGAGUGGUAGUUGAAGACAUAGCCACCCAUCCACGGUUAUGGAGCUGGUAGUCAUGGCAGCCGGGUUCAGUUUGACAAGCUUAUAUAAUCAAUUAAGGAGAGAGAAUUGAUGCUGCUGCUCCUUAUCCCUAUAGGUGAAGAUGUAAAGGACAUAAAAUGUGUGAUAAAUUAUGAUUUUCCAACAAGUCUCGAGGAUUAUAUUCACAGGAUAGGGAGAACUGGUCGUGCUGGGGCCAAAGGAAUUGCUUACACAUUUUUCACACAAUCAAAUGCUAAGUU